UUUUAUUAAGAAUAUAUAUAUAUAUGCACAUCAACAUCACAGGGAAGGGCAAAAGAGAAUAUUUCAACUGUGGUCCAACAAAAAGGAUGAGAAUACAGAGAAGGAUUAACAAGAAGGUUCAGUCUUAAAAGAAUCAAUCAAAGGUAAGUUAUUUUUUUGCAAGUGGAAUGCAAAUGCAUAAACAAUGCUUCAUAAAUGAAUUGUGCCAGUUAGAAUUUUGAGGCUGCAUUAAGUCGCAUAAUACAAGAGCACAUGAUAAAAAGAAUCUGGCAUAGUCUAUUAGGCUGUAUUAUCAUUUUCUUGUAGAAAGGUCUGUAGCAGAAACAACUUCUUCAAUGCAACCCUUUAGCAGAAAAAGGUGCAGGGGAACCAUUUCAAUAUGUCAAAAUAAGAAAUAGAUCCAUGCUGUUUUUAUAUUUCUUAACAGGAUUAACCCCAAGAGAUACUUUUUCUUCUUUUGCUCUAUUGGCACUUUUUUCCACCACCCAAUUGACAUUGGUGAAGUGUUGCAGCCGCUUUCCAGCCAGCCUGUCAAAGCCUCUGCUUCACAACUAAAUCCAUCUGCUGCCACAUGAGGAUCUUGCAUCACAGCAAAAUAGGACGAAAGAAAUAGAAAGGAGACUCUUCUUUCUCUUGAGAACCAAAUUGGACGGGUGCUGAGCAAAAUGCUCUAAUUGGUUCGAGCACCCUUCACAUCCACACCUCUGAUGCAAGGUUUUGUCGGCUACUUCGGUUCCUUGCACAGCAACUCAAAGCUAGUUGAGCCAAUUGUUUGGCUUGUACAAAUGGCCAGUUCCCUGCUAGGGGAUUCAAAAAGGAAGCCAGAUUUCUGAUUCCAGACAACCACUCGAGUCACAAAAGCAAAUCAGCUCAACUCAAUUGAGAGCCACCGGACACAUAUAGAUACGAUCAAUUGUAUUUGAAUUGAGAUAAAAAGGGGAAAAUUUCUGAAUACUUCAGUAAAUGGGUAGAAAUGGCAAUUGAAAGAAACUUACAUUCUAGUUAUAAAAGUAAUCGAGGGACUGUUGGGGAUUGAGAUAUGAGGAAAAAUUGGAAAUCCUUUUCUCUUUGGGAAAGCAGAAGAAGAGCCCAGCGCCAAUAAUCUGACAUUCUAUGGGGAUCACCAAAGAGAAGCAAAUGGAAGAGUGCGGGGUUUGAUUUGAGAUCUCACUCCACCCACUCUCUCUCCUGCUCUCACUCUCUCCCUCUCAUGAUAAUGCAAACCUCGUCUACCAAGCAAAAAAAUUUACCCAAAUUUUAUCAUAUCCAUGUGUACCUCUCACCCUCCAAUUAGAGAUGUGGCAAUGUAAGUUGAAGAGCAAUUGACAGAAUUUAGAGAUGGAAUGCCUAUUCCAAGAAUAAAUUCAAAAUGCAGAUUCUGAUUUCUUGUGAAAAUGAAAAAUUGAUUCUAAAUUUCUAUUCCAAGAGUUAAUUCAAGUUAUCAACA
rnacentral:misc_RNA from 1 species